ACAGUAUAAAGUUGGUGGACGGAAACCAUUCCACAUACUGUGGUUCUCUGCGACUGUAGGAUCUGCCAAUACGAUUUACCGCUCUCUAGGCCAUCUUGAUUUGCUAAGAUAUCGAAGAUCAUCAUGAAGUUGGCAUUUUGUCUUUUUGCUCUGAUAUUUUUCGUGGCCCUUAUGCCACAGGAUGGAGAAAGUUGGCGACUUCGAAGAGUCUGGAGAAGGGCCGUUAGAGUAGUGAGGAGGGUGGUUAGAGUUGUCAAAACUUACAAGGCAAUUAAAGCUGCGGUCGCAGUAGCCGGAGACGAAAACAACUCCAAGUUUAUGUUAAAUGAUUUGGAUGGCGACGGCAAGAUAUCACUGCACGACGUGAAGGAUCCCGAAGCGAUGGAGGAACUCGACGCUAACGGUAAAGUAGU